rnacentral:sRNA from 1 species
UAGUCAUGUAGGGACUGAGGAAUCGGGCCAAAGCCAGAACCAGGUCUCCUACAGGCAUCUGAACCCAGGCCCAGGAGACCUGAAGCGCAAGAAGGCCAGCCCCAGGCUCAGGCCCUCCCUCUGCCCGCAGCUGCCCUCAUGAUGGAGGAGCUGAAUCCCUACACCAAGAUCAGCCCAGCACUGGGUGCAGAGCGGCACUCAGUGGGUGCUGUCACAGGCAUCAUGCUCCUGUUAUUCCUCAUUGUGGUGCUGCUGGGCCUAUUUGCCUGGCAUCGGCGGCGGCAGAAAGAGAAGGGCCGAGACCUGGCUCCCCGUGUCUCCUACACACCUGCCAUAAGGAUGACCAGCACCGACUACUCCCUCUCAGCAUCAACCACACCAUGGUGGCCUGUCAUGGAACACCUAGCUCGCACUUUCUCUCAACGGCCUAGGACCCAGCUCAGUAACAAGUCCCUUGACAGAGACACGGCAGGCUGGACCCCCUACAGCUAUGUGAACGUGUUAGAUCAGUGCCCUGGAGGCCAGGUACCCGCCCGAGGACUUCUACAUUGAACUUAGACACCUCAGCCGCCCCGCUGAGCCACACUCACCAGGUGCUUGUGGAAUGGAUAGACGUCAGAACACAUACAUUAUGGACAAAGGCUUCAAAGGCGGGUGGAUGACUCAGCUGGAGAACAAAGUGGCUUCCUGAGAUUACAUGAAAGAAUCCGUGUGCAGUUCUAGUACUUGUUCCUUGAAUAGCAGUGAAAACCCUUACGCCACAAUUAAGGACCCACCCAUCCUCACCUGCAAGCUUCCAGAAAGCAGCUAUGUAGAAAUGAAGUCGCCUGUGCACAUGGGGUCUCCGUACACAGAUGUGCCAUCCUUGUCGACAUCUAAUAAAAAUAUAUAUGA